rnacentral:rRNA from 1 species
AUGAACGCUAGCUACAGGCUUAACACAUGCAAGUCGAGGGGCAGCAUGAAUCAAGCUUGCUUGAUUGAUGGCGACCGGCGCACGGGUGCGUAACACGUAUCCAAUCUACCCAUGGCUCAGGGAUAGCCUUUCGAAAGAAAGAUUAAUACCUGAUGGUUUCAUGAGCCCGCAUGGACUUAUGAAUAAAGAUUUAUCGGCGAUGGAUGAGGAUGCGUCCGAUUAGAUAGUAGGCGGGGUAACGGCCCACCUAGUCGACGAUCGGUAGGGGCUCUGAGAGGAGGAUCCCCCACAUUGGAACUGAGACACGGUCCAAACUCCUACGGGAGGCAGCAGUGAGGAAUAUUGGUCAAUGGGCGAGAGCCUGAACCAGCCAAGUAGCGUGAAGGGAUGACUGCCCUAUGGGUUGUAAACCUCUUUUGUUUGGGGAUAAAGUGAGCCACGUGUGGCUUUUUGUAUGUACCUUACGAAUAAGCAUCGGCUAAUUCCGUGCCAGCAGCCGC